rnacentral:rRNA from 1 species
AUUGAACGCUGGCGGCAUGCCUUACACAUGCAAGUCGAACGGCAGCACGGGUGCUUGCACCUGGUGGCGAGUGGCGAACGGGUGAGUAAUACAUCGGAACGUACCUUAUCGUGGGGGAUAACGCAGCGAAAGCUGUGCUAAUACCGCAUACGCCCUGAGGGGGAAAGCGGGGGAUCGCAAGACCUCGCGCGAUUAGAGCGGCCGAUGCCUGACUAGCUUGUUGGUGGGGUAAAAGCCCACCAAGGCGACGAUCAGUAGCUGGUCUGAGAGGACGAUCAGCCACACUGGGACUGAGACACGGCCCAGACUCCUACGGGAGGCAGCAGUGGGGAAUUUUGGACAAUGGGGGCAACCCUGAUCCAGCAAUGCCGCGUGAGUGAAGAAGGCCUUCGGGUUGUAAAGCUCUUUUGUCAGGGAAGAAACACCGACUCUAACACAGUCCGGGAAUGACGGUACCUGAAGAAUAAGCACCGGCUAACUACGUGCCAGCCGCCGCAGUAA